rnacentral:rRNA from 1 species
UACGUAGGGGGCUAGCGUUGUCCGGAAUCAUUGGGCGUAAAGAGCGCGUAGGCGGCUGGACUAGUCCGGUGUGAAAUCCACAGGCUUAACCUGUGAAUGCCGCUGGAAACUGUCUGGCUAGAGUCGGAAGGGGCGAGUGGAAUUCCUGGUGUAGCGGUGAAAUGCGCAGAUAUCAGGAGGAACACCAAUGGCGAAGGCAGCUCGCUGGGACGGUACUGACGCUGAGGCGCGAAAGCGUGGGGAGCGAACAGG